GACGUAGGGCGCAAGCGUUGUCCGGAAUUACUGGGCGUAAAGAGCUCGUAGGUGGUUUGUCGCGUUGUCCGUGAAAACUCACAGCUCAACUGUGGGCGUGCGGGCGAUACGGGCAGACUGGAGUACUGCAGGGGAGACUGGAAUUCCUGGUGUAGCGGUGGAAUGCGCAGAUAUCAGGAGGAACACCGGUGGCGAAGGCGGGUCUCUGGGCAGUAACUGACGCUGAGGAGCGAAAGCGUGGGGAGCGAACAGG
rnacentral:rRNA from 1 species